GACGAACGCUGGCGGCGUGCCUAAUACAUGCAAGUCGAGCGGAAUGAUGAAGAAGCUUGCUUCUUCUGAUUUUAGCGGCGGACGGGUGAGUAACACGUGGGCAACCUACCUUGUAGAUUGGGAUAACUCCGGGAAACCGGGGCUAAUACCGAAUAAUCCAUUUUGCUUCAUGGCGAGAUGUUGAAAGACGGUUUCGGCUGUCACUAUAAGAUGGGCCCGCGGCGCAUUAGCUAGUUGGUAGGGUAAUGGCCUACCAAGGCGACGAUGCGUAGCCGACCUGAGAGGGUGAUCGGCCACACUGGGACUGAGACACGGCCCAGACUCCUACGGGAGGCAGCAGUAGGGAAUCUUCCACAAUGGACGAAAGUCUGAUGGAGCAACGCCGCGUGAGUGAAGAAGGUUUUCGGAUCGUAAAACUCUGUUGUAAGGGAAGAACACGUACGAGAGUAACUGCUCGUACCUUGACGGUACCUUAUUAGAAAGCCACGGCUAACUACGUG
rnacentral:rRNA from 1 species